GAUGAAGAACGCAGUGAAAUGCGAUACGUAAUGUGAAUUGCAGAAUUCAGUGAAUCAUCGAGUCUUUGAACGCACAUUGCGCCCCCUGGUAUUCCGGGGGGCAUGCCUGUCCGAGCGUCAUUGCUGCCCUCAAGCACGGCUUGUGUGUUGGGCCUCCGUCCUCCUCCCGGGGGACGGGCCCGAAAGGCAGCGGCGGCACCGCGUCCGGUCCUCGAGCGUAUGGGGCUUCGUCACCCGCUCUUGUAGGCCCGGUCGGCGCUUGCCGACACAUCAAUCUUUUUUCCAGGUUGACCUCGGAUCAGGUAGGGAUACCCGCUGAACUUAAGCAUAUCAAUAGCGGAGGA
rnacentral:misc_RNA from 1 species